CAGCAGCCACGGUAAUACGUAGGUGGCAAGCGUUGUCUGGAAUUAUUGGGCGUAAAGGGCUCGCAGGCGGUUUCUUAAGUCUGAUGUGAAAGCCCCCGGCUCAACCGGGGAGGGUCAUUGGAAACUGGGAAACUUGAGUGCAGAAGAGGAGAGUGGAAUUCCACGUGUAGCGGUGAAAUGCGUAGAGAUGUGGAGGAACACCAGUGGCGAAGGCGACUCUCUGGUCUGUAACUGACGCUGAGGAGCGAAAGCGUGGGGAGCGAACAGGAUUAGAUACCCCCGUAGUCCCUGUCUCUUAUAA
rnacentral:rRNA from 1 species